rnacentral:rRNA from 1 species
UACGUAGGGGGCUAGCGUUGCUCGGAAUCACUGGGCGUAAAGGGUGCGUAGGCGGCUUUUUAAGUCAGGGGUGAAAUCCUGGAGCUCAACUCCAGAACUGCCUUUGAUACUGAAGAUCUUGAGUUCGGGAGAGGUGAGUGGAACUGCGAGUGUAGAGGUGAAAUUCGUAGAUAUUCGCAAGAACACCAGUGGCGAAGGCGGCUCACUGGCCCGAUACUGACGCUGAGGCACGAAAGCGUGGGGAGCAAACAGG